GACCUGGUGGUGAAUGGCUCAUACCCACCUUACUUAUGUAAGUAUCUCUGUAUGCUGGGAUACAGUGGGUGUCCCCGGUUCGAAUCCGGGCCAGGUCA